ACAGCUCUGCCCUCCCCUCUCAGAGACCCCUCUCCUCUCACGGAGACUCCCCUCCACCUGCUGCCAGUGCUGGGCACCAACACGUGACACGGACAGGAACAGGAAAAAAAGUGCCUCCUGAACUAGCCCAGGGGGCUGAGGAAGGCUGGCUGUGCCCUGUGGGCAGAGCCCUUGGCACUGCCCCCCAGUGCCUCCCUCCCUGCCCUCGCACAGUGUGAUUCACAGUUGGAAAGCCUUGAGGGACUUGGACAUGGGCCCAAAGCAAUUGGGAAGACAAAUACUAGCGUAAGAACAGCGUUGGAAGCAGUCCUGGCAUAGUGACUCCCUGGAGCCUGCAAAACGUGUGUGGAUUUGCCUUCUUCAGAGGAACUUAGUUUGAUAUCUUUCAAUUUGGCUGAGGUGGGCAUUUUUCAUACAAAAUCAGGUGAGCUGCAGACAUUGGCAGCCAGUGGCAUCACCCUGGACCUUACAGUGGUAAGUACCUCCUCAGUUUACCCCUCAUGUAGUUGGAGCCAGGCAGCAGCUCGUGAGCUUUUGGCUUUCUCCUGGAAGUCUUCUGAGGCAUAGCUAGAAAAACUGGCCUUCCAUUGCCUGGGGAAGGUAGUUGUACUUUCAGCAUCUUUACUGACAGAAAUGUUAUUGGGAGUAAUUGUAAAGCGAUGGUAUCUGUUAAAAUUCAAUUCCUAUGGUCUCUGUGGGAUGGCAGAGUGAAACUGAGGUGAAACUGUAAACAGGGAACACUGUGGGCACAUCUGAAAGGGAUCCUGAGAGCGUGGCACCUGCAUCAGAGUUGAUCUACCCUCUGUGCAUUUCAUAGGGAAUGUAGCAAAUUAGUGUCAUUGGUUCAUCCCCUUUUCCCCUUCACGGUGAUGGACUGCUUGCUGAACAGUUUGCUUUCCCUUUGAAAAGGUCUGGGAAAAGUCCCAUAAGCAACUAGGGAUUCUGCAGAGCAACAGCUUCCUUUGGAAAGCAGCUGUGCUUUCGGAUCAGCAGUGGCUGCAGCUUGAAGUGUGCCUUAGAAGCUGUUCUUGCUGGGGGCUGUGCCUGCAGGCAAGCUCCAGGAGUAAGGAAUUGACUGCUGAUGGCUCUGAAUGCUUCGCCCCAACACCUUGCUUGGUGUCUGCUGUGCUCUGCUGUCCUGCUCGUGCAGGUGUGCAACACAGACGUGCAGUGAUAAAUUGUCCUGCAAAGUUGACUCAUCUGAGGGUUAUGCUUUACAACAAAAAAAUUUGGGAAAGAACCAAUAGACAAAAUACAUUUUAAUUUAUUAAAUUAAAUCCAGUCCAUUUGAUAAAAUACAAGCUUAUUAUAUUACCAGUUUGUUUAAACCUGGGUUGUUUUUGUUUUAAGAAAUACAGUGAAUUAAGAAGAGAGA